UGGGGAAGUUCCUGCCAGAAAACAUAGACCCUAUCCUCUGCACACACCUGGAGCCUAUGCCGAUGCCUUCAUCAACCAUGAGAUCACUGAGUGGGAGUGGAAUGAGAAAAGCCUCUAAACCCCAUGCUGAAGACUUUCUUGUCGGUCAGAGAGGAGAACGACGGUCUCAGAGAUUUCCGAGGUCUGUGAGGCUGAGAUUGAAGAAGAUAAUGCACAACUAGAUGGAGCGAGGAGACCCAACAGAGUAAUUGCUGCUGGGGUUUCAUCAACCUUAAGAAGCAACUAAGGCCCAAUGAGGAAAAUAACAUAUUUGAUGUUGAUUUGAUGGGAUGCUAUGCUAUGCUAUAAACUAGUGUGUGCUAAAGUCAGGUAGAUACAAAAAAAGCCCUUACUGAAUAGUGAUAAACUGUAUAUGUAAUAUUCUUG